UCCCUGCAGGUCCAGUGGUUAGGACUCCAUGCUUUCAUUGCCGAGAGCCUAGGUUCAAUCCCUGGUCAGGGAA
rnacentral:tRNA from 1 species